AGCGGAUGAAGGGAGCUUGCUCCUGGAUUCAGCGGCGGACGGGUGAGUAAUGCCUAGGAAUCUGCCUGGUAGUGGGGGAUAACGUCCGGAAACGGGCGCUAAUACCGCAUACGUCCUGAGGGAGAAAGUGGGGGAUCUUCGGACCUCACGCUAUCAGAUGAGCCUAGGUCGGAUUAGCUAGUUGGUGGGGUAAAGGCCUACCAAGGCGACGAUCCGUAACUGGUCUGAGAGGAUGAUCAGUCACACUGGAACUGAGACACGGUCCAGACUCCUACGGGAGGCAGCAGUGGGGAAUAUUGGACAAUGGGCGAAAGCCUGAUCCAGCCAUGCCGCGUGUGUGAAGAAGGUCUUCGGAUUGUAAAGCACUUUAAGUUGGGAGGAAGGGCAGUAAGUUAAUACCUUGCUGUUUUGACGUUACCAACAGAAUAAGCACCGGCUAACUUCGUGCCAGCAGCCGCGGUAAUACGAAGGGUGCAAGCGUUAAUCGGAAUUACUGGGCGUAAAGCGCGCGUAGGUGGUUCAGCAAGUUGGAUGUGAAAUCCCCGGGCUCAACCUGGGAACUGCAUCCAAAACUACUGAGCUAGAGUACGGUAGAGGGUGGUGGAAUUUCCUGUGUAGCGGUGAAAUGCGUAGAUAUAGGAAGGAACACCAGUGGCGAAGGCGACCACCUGGACUGAUACUGACACUGAGGUGCGAAAGCGUGGGGGAGCAAACAGG
rnacentral:rRNA from 1 species